rnacentral:lncRNA from 1 species
AAAUGUUUGCACUUCCCACCCACCAUUUUGCCCAGCCCUCACUGUCCUUGGACUUCCCAGGAGAAUGUAGAACUAAUGUGCAGUGUUGGCUCCUGUUGUGCUGCACAGGCCUUCGGUAUUACAAAUGGAACUCAAGGAUUAGUCUUUGUGACUGGUGAGGUGACCACACUAACACCUGGUGUUGAUAAGAUGGCAUAAAAACAGCCAGCUCUGGGAAGUCGUGCUAGAGAGAUGGCUCAGAAGUGAACAGCCCAUGCUGCUCUUCCGGAAGACCUGAGCUGGGUUACCAGCACCUAUGUUCUCCAGAUCACAGUCUUCACUAACUCCAGCUCCACGGGAUCUAACCCCCUCUUCCGGCCUCCAUGGUACUUUUACUCAUGUGCAUGACAUCCUCCCACACAUACUUAAUGAAAAAUAAGAAUUAAAUCUUUAAUAA